rnacentral:rRNA from 1 species
UACGGGGGGAGCAAGCGUUGUUCGGAUUUACUGGGCGUAAAGGGCGCGUAGGCGGUCAGCACAAGUCAGUUGUGAAAUCUCCGAGCUUAACUCGGAAAGGUCAACUGAUACUGUGCGACUAGAGUGCGGAAGGGGCAACUGGAAUUCUCGGUGUAGCGGUGAAAUGCGUAGAUAUCGAGAGGAACACCUGCGGCGAAGGCGGGUUGCUGGGCCGACACUGACGCUGAGGCGCGAAAGCCAGGGGAGCGAACGGG